ACGGCGAGUGAAGCGGCAACAGCUCAAAUUUGAAAUCUGGCCCUCGCGGGCCCGAGUUGUAAUUUGCAGAGGAUGCUUUUGGCGAGGCGCCGCCCGAGUUCCCUGGAACGGGACGCCGCAGAGGGUGAGAGCCCCGUCUGGCUGGCCGCCGAGCCUCUGURAAGCUCCUUCGACGAGUCGAGUAGUUUGGGAAUGCUGCUCAAAACGGGAGGUAUAUGUCUUCUAAAGCUAAAUACCGGCCAGAGACCGAUAGCGCACAAGUAGAGUGAUCGAAAGAUGAAAAGCACUUUGAAAAGAGGGUUAAACAGUACGUGAAAUUGUUGAAAGGGAAGCGCUCGCGACCAGACUUGGGCCUGGCGGAUCAUCCGGCGUUCUCGCCGGUGCACUCCGCCCGGCCCAGGCCAGCAUCGGUUCGCCCCGGGGGACAAAGGCGGCGGGAAUGUGGCUCCCCCGGGAGUGUUAUAGCCCGCCGCGCAAUGCCCUGGCGCGGACGAGCGCCUGCAAGGAUG
rnacentral:rRNA from 1 species